ensembl:snRNA U6 U6 spliceosomal RNA
GUGCUCGCUUCAGCAGCACAUAUACUAAAAUUGGAACAAUACAGAGAAGAUUAGCAUGGCCUGUGCAUGAGGAUGACACGCGAAUUCAUGAAGCAUUCCAAGAAAUG